CUCUUAGCUUCUUCCUACUCCCGACUCUCUCACUCUCUCGUGCGGGAGCUGCCAUUAAUUUCAGGGCUUAAAUGAAGAUCUGAAACAGGUAAGAGUCUAGAUUUCAUCAAUUUCAACCUUAGUGAUUUCCUAAUUAGGGAUUUACAAUGUUGAAACCCUAAUUAGGGAUUUACUAUGUUGAAACCCUAAUUAGGGAUUUUUCAGGUUUUUGGAGUCGAGGAAUGGUCGAAUUAGGGUUUCAAAGAGCUACAUUCCUAUGAGCUUGAAUUAUGGGUUUUGGAGGUUUUAGGGUUUCUGCCUUAGCAGCUGCGGCAUGGGGAAAUCUCCAGGAAAAUGGAUCAAGACGGUUCUGUUCGGGCAGAAAUCUUCUAGAUCUGAAGCAUCGAAAGGAAGAGAGGCUUUGAUCUUUUGAGGGAGAUGUUUGUGAACCAAAGGGAAUGAACUUUGUGCUUUGGAUUUUGCCAUGGAAGGUGGCAGUGAUCCGGAAGGGAGUCAGUUUCUGAGGUUUCUCUUUUCUCCAUUUUCAUUUUUUUUUUCAUUUAAGAAUGUUAAAUUGUGUCAAUCUCUAUGGAAAGAACUGCAGUUUUAAAUUUUGAAGUUGUCAGUUAUUGGAAAGAUCCUUAACCACUCAACAGGGCCAAAUAAAUAAACCACAACAAGGUCUUCAAAUCUGAGUUGUUCGUAGUACAUGGGCCACCCAGAAUAAUGCCAAGUACAAAUUGAAAACUGAGCUUAGUGGGCCAACUCUUGGACUGAGCAUUCUAUGAUAUCUCUAUCUUUUAAUCUUCACCAUUCCUUUAGAGGCCACAAAUCCAUGGCUAGAACUGCAUAUUAAAGUCUGUUUAUGUACGAAGUCAUUGGUCACCACAGCUGAAUGUUGUCACAAACUUCUACAUAUAGCCAAUCCUUUUCUGGAACUUACAGUCAUUUUAUCUUUAAAAAUAUCCACUACUCAUGCAACGAUUGUACAUAAACUUCUACAUAUAGCCAAUCCUUUUCUGCCUAAGUGUCAUACAUGUAUAACAUCUGAUUUGUUCAAAAGGUUUGAUGGACCAUAGUGAUCAUCAUAGAUAAAAAUCAGACUUAUCCACUCAUUGGGUGGGUCACACCAGUACACUGAUGAUGAUC